AGUGAACGCUGGCGGCGUGCUUAACACAUGCAAGUCGAACGAGAACGGAAUAUAGCUUGCUAUAUUUGUCAGCUAAGUGGCGCACGGGUGAGUAAUGUAUAGAUAACCUGCCCUUAAGAAAGGAAUAACAGUUGGAAACGACUGCUAAUGCCCUAUAGGCCUUUAAUACAUAAGUAUGCAAGGGAAACGCUUUAGUGCUUAAGGAUGGGUCUGUAUGGUAUCAGCUUGUUGGUGAGGUAAUGGCUCACCAAGGCUAUGACGCCUAACUGGUUUGAGAGGAUGGUCAGACACACUGGAACUGAGACACGGUCCAGACUACUACGAGAGGCAGCAGUGGGGAAUAUUGCACAAUGGACGAAAGUCCGAUGCAGAAACGCCGCGUGGAGGAUGACACAUUUCGGUGCGUAAACUCCUUUUAUAUAGGAAGAUAAUGACGGUACUAUAUGAAUAAGCACCGGCUAACUCCGUGCCAGCCGCCGCAGUAAUAC
rnacentral:rRNA from 1 species